UACGUAGGGUGCGAGCGUUGCCCGGAUUUAUUGGGCGUAAAGGGCGCGCAGGCGGUCACGCACGUCCGUUGUGAAAUCGCUCGGCUCAACUGGGCGGGGUCGGCGGAUACGGCCGAGCUGGAGCAAGCUAGGGGGUAAUGGAAUUCCCGGUGUAGUGGUGGAAUGCGUAGAUAUCGGGAGGAACACCAGUGGCGAAGGCGGUUACCUGGAGCUUUGCUGACGCUGAUGCGCGAAAGCGUGGGGAGCGAGCCGG
rnacentral:rRNA from 1 species